UACGGAGGGGGCUAGCGUUGUUCGGAAUUACUGGGCGUAAAGCGCACGUAGGCGGUUUUGUAAGUCAGGGGUGAAAUCCCGGGGCUCAACCUCGGAACUGCCUUUGAUACUGCAAAUCUCGAGUCCGGAAGAGGUGAGUGGAAUUCCUAGUGUAGAGGUGAAAUUCGUAGAUAUUAGGAAGAACACCAGUGGCGAAGGCGGCUCACUGGCCCGAUACUGACGCUGAGGCACGAAAGCGUGGGGAGCAAACAGG
rnacentral:rRNA from 1 species